rnacentral:rRNA from 1 species
UGGGGAAUUUUGCACAAUGGGGGAAACCCUGAUGCAGCGACGCCGCGUGAUUUAGAAGGCCUUCGGGUUGUAAAAAUCUUUUGUAUAGGAAGAAAAUGACAGUACUAUACGAAUAAGGACCGGCUAAUUACGUGCCAGCAGCCGCGGUAAUACGUAAGGUCCGAGCGUUGUCCGGAAUCAUUGGGCGUAAAGGGUACGUAGGCGGGUAAGCAAGUUAGAAGUGAAAUCCUAUAGCUCAACUAUAGUAAGCUUUUAAAACUGCUAGGCUUGAGAGAUGGAAGGGAAAGUGGAAUUCCUAGUGUAGCGGUGAAAUGCGCAGAUAUUAGGAAGAAUACCGGUGGCGAAGGCGACUUUCUGGUCAUCAUCUGACGCUGAGGUACGAAAGCGUGGGUAGCAAACAGG